rnacentral:rRNA from 1 species
CCUACGGUGCGCAGCAGUGAGGAAUAUUGGUCAAUGGGCGCGAGCCUGAACCAGCCAAGUCGCGUGAGGGAUGACGGUCCUACGGAUUGUAAACCUCUUUUGCCGGGGAGCAAGCGUGCGUUCGUGAACGCGCGUCGAGAGUACCCGGAGAAAAAGCAUCGGCUAACUCCGUGCAAGCAGCCGCGGUAAUACGGAGGAUGCGAGCGGUAUCCGGAUUUAUUGGGUUUAAAGGGAGCGUAGGCCGCAUGUCAAGCGUCCUGUGAAAGGUCCGGGCUCAACCCGGGCCUUGCAGCGCGAACUGGCGUGCUUGAGUCCGCGGAAAGCAGGCGGAAUUCGUCGUGUAGCGGUGAAAUGCUUAGAUAUGACGAAGAACCCCGAUUGCGAAGGCAGCUUGCUGCAGCGGAACUGACGCUGAUGCUCGAAAGCGCGGGUAUCGAACAGGAUUAGAUACCCCUGUAGUC